rnacentral:rRNA from 1 species
UAGUGAGUUUGAUCCUGGCUCAGGAUGAACGCUGGCGGCGUGCUUAACACAUGCAAGUCGAACGAAUGAUCCGGUGGCUUGCACCGGGGAUUAGUGGCGAACGGGUGAGUAACGCGUAGAGAAUCUGCCUUCUGGUCGGGGACAACCACUGGAAACGGUGGCUAAUACCGGAUAUGCCUAUGGGUGAAAGAUUAAUUGCCAGAAGAAGAGCUCGCGUCUGAUUAGCUAGUUGGAGAGGUAAAGGCUCACCAAGGCAUCGAUCAGUAGCUGGUC